rnacentral:miRNA from 12 species
AACAUGUAUGCCCUGGUUACU